AGUGAACGCUGGCGGUAGGCCUAACACAUGCAAGUCGAACGGCAGCACAGGAGAGCUUGCUCUCUGGGUGGCGAGUGGCGGACGGGUGAGGAAUACAUCGGAAUCUACCUUUUUCGUGGGGAUAACGUAGGGAAACUUACGCUAAUACCGCAUACGACCUACGGGUGAAAGUGGGGACCGCAAGGCCUCACGCGAUUAGAUGAGCCGAUGUCCGAUUAGCUAGUUGGCGGGGUAAUGGCCCACCAAGGCGACGAUCGGUAGCUGGUCUGAGAGGAUGAUCAGCCACACUGGAACUGAGACACGGUCCAGACUCCUACGGGAGGCAGCAGUGGGGAAUAUUGGACAAUGGGCGCAAGCCUGAUCCAGCCAUACCGCGUGGGUGAAGAAGGCC
rnacentral:rRNA from 1 species